ACCUGGCGCACCUGUCAGCCGCUGCAUGGAAGGAUCCUCACUUUUGGACUAUUUUCGUGGACUUCACUGGCCUGUGGAGAACUUGGACACCUGACAGUCUUGCCAGGAGGACUUUUAGUUGGACGCACAGACGCAAUACUAAGAAAGCAGAAGUACACGGACAGUGGGCGUGACACGCUAACAGCCAAUCAGGGAGCGUAGUCAGCCCAAUGUGGUGUGUACAUGAUGCAAGGUCAUACUAAUUCUGGAGCGACACAAAACACUGCUACAGUUUUCAGCCCUACUUGAAAUACAAAAAAAGGCGUGGUCUUGUAUCGGGUGUGGCGUUACAGAGCGGUGCCAUACCUGGAUGGGGAAGAUCCCGGGCAGAAUGGGACAGGUGAUCCCCAGCGCCCGACAGUCGUCGAGGAAUUUCAGAUAAGUUUCGGCCCGGAAGAAAAGUUGCGUGAUGACAAAGUUGGCUCCUGCGUCCACCUUCUCCUUCAGGUGUUGCAGAUCCUCCUGGUAGCUCCCCGCCUCAGGGUGUCCAGUGGGGUAGCCUGAACCACACACACACACACACACACACACUUUGAAAUCCACAACUUCACCAUUGUACUGCUCGGUGACCACACCUGCCACGCAGAUGUCAAAGUAGUCGUCAAACUGGGAGCGGAUGUGUUUGACCAGGUCUAUGGCGUAGUUGAAGCAUCCUUCCUCCUCCUCCCAGUCCGUGCCCACAGGGUCUGGCGGUGGAUGACAAGCGCUCAAUAACCACCCCGGCGGAUGUGCGGCCAUCACAGUACCUCCUCUCAGCGCCAUGAUGUUUUUCAGGCCCAGGUGCUUGGCCUUGGCCAGGUAGCCGGAGAUCUUCUGGCUGGUCUGGUUGCAGCAGGUGAGGUGCAGGAUGCUCUCCAGGCCGCAGUAGUUGACCGCCGUGCUGGCGAUCAUCAUGGAGGACGUUUCCUUGUCCGAACCCGGGUCUCCCGCCGGAUGCCAGGUAAUGUCGAUGAAGAGCGGCCCCCCGGAGCCCAUACGGUCAAACCUGGAGACACAGAAACCCGACUUGGACUUUUAGGACCGAACUCACGGACGCAGACCAUCAGUUCUAGUAAAGUGUGGAGGGAAAAGGGUUGUACGGUAUACCCGACACUAGUAUAGUAUCGUGGUACUAAUGAAUCAAAAACCAUACUGUACCGCUUCCCAAGGGACAUGAUGACAUUGCUGCUUUUAGGAGCAGAGGAGCAUGUUGGGCAGCGCACACACACAGAGUACUUACAAGCAGACACAGUGUGUAGCCAGAAAAGGGAGAAUGGACGCAUUUUGGUGUAAAAAAUAAGAUAAAAGGUAAAACAAAUAAAAUGUAAUAAAAUGCAAA